AACAGGAAGCAGCUUGCUGCUUUGCUGACGAGUGGCGGACGGGUGAGUAAUGUCUGGGAAACUGCCUGGUGGAGGGGGAUAACUACUGGAAACGGUAGCUAAUACCGCAUAACGUCGCAAGACCAAAGAGAGGGACCUUCGGGCCUCUUGCCAUCGGAUGUGCCCAGAUGGGAUUAGCUAGUAGGUGGGGUAACGGCUCACCUAGGCGACGAUCCCUAGCUGGUCUGAGAGGAUGACCAGCCACACUGGAACUGAGACACGGUCCAGACUCCCACGGGAGGCAGCAGUGGGGAAUAUUGCACAAUGGGCGCAAGCCUGAUGCAGCCAUGCCGCGUGUAUGAAGAAGGCCUUCGGGUUGUAAAGUACUUUCAGCGGGGAGGAAGGGAGUAAAGUUAAUACCUUUGCUCAUUGACGUUACCCGCAGAAGAAGCACCGGCUAACUCCGUGCCAGUAGCCGCGGUAAUACGGAGGGUGCAAGCGUUAAUCGGAAUUACUGGGCGUAAAGCGCACGCAGGCGGUUUGUUAAGUCAGAUGUGAAAUCCCCGGGCUCAACCUGGGAACUGCACCUGAUACUGGCAAGCUUGAGUCUCGUAGAGGGGGGUAGAAUUCCAGGUGUAGCGGUGAAAUGCGUAGAGAUCUGGAGGAAUACCGGUGGCGAAGGCGGCCCCCUGGACGAAGACUGACGCUCAGGUGCGAAAGCGUGGGGAGCAAACAGG
rnacentral:rRNA from 1 species